CUGCGUUACAGUUACGCCUCUAGUUUCGCGUCUCAGCACGUUCUUUUGGCGCCUGCACCUGAGCACCACUUGAGAGUGAAAGAGAGCUGUGCCUGAAUCCACUGUUGUCACGGAGCUAAAGGCAGUGAAUUCCGCAAAAAUGGUCAGGUUUUGGUAAAGAGUUGGAAACAUCUUGCAGCUGAGUUCCAUUCCACGGAGUGAUACCGAUCCAACGUUCUUCCAGAGAUUCAUAGAUUCCCAGUCCAGGUGGCUGGGUGGCGAACCAACCGUGUUUGUGACUCUAACUUUAGACGGAUUGCCAGGAUCUUCUUCAUCUUUAUUGUGGAUACUGAGGAAUAGGCCGGCAGCCUGAGGGGCGGAUCUGUUGGCGGUGAUUGGCUCUCCUUGCUUGCCAAUGAGGUGUGAAACGUCUGCCACGCUGCUGUAACUCUUCUCUGAGGGCCACCCUCGUGUUCUUGCGUGUGUGCACACAGACACACACACACAGUGUCACACAAUAUGCUUCAGAUAGAUACAAAUGUAUUCACCCGCACAAAUUAAAAACACAACAGAAGACAAUGUGAAAAUGUGGUUAUAGUCCUGUCUAGGCAAGGAGACCUCGUCCCGUUUGGACUUCAGUAAGAGUGAACACACACACAGAAUUGUUCUUGGUUGCCAGCGAUGCCAGUGGGGCCUACAGAUGAGAGAAGACCGUCACACACUCUAUUCUAGUAAUGGGCAGGCAGAUGGCAGGCUGCUCUGUAGCCUCUGCUUAGGCUGAUGGCUCUAUUCAUCAGGCUGCUCGCCCUCCCUGCAGCCCUGCACUGGGCCACAAUUUAUAGAGCUCUUUCUUCCUCACACUCCCGUCUGCUAUUCUCUCUUGCUGUUAUUUAUUUGUACUUUUUUGUUUUAGUCUGCGCCUCUUCUCUUAUUUUCUCAGAGUCUAUGCUGGUGUCUGUCUGCUUGGCACCAUAAAAGGCUGUUUCAUUUCAGCUAGAAGUUCUGCUGCUGGGGGAGUGAGUUAUUGGCUCUAUUUUAGAAAGUGCUGUUACCUUUCCUGCCUUUUUUUCAUUUGGCAGACUGAAGUUUUGGUCAUGCAAACACUUUUUGGAGGCAGAAGUGCUUGGUGCAGAGGUAGUCUCAUUGUACUGACUGAGGCCCCAUCCACACUACUGCGUUUGCUAUGUUUGCACCUCCUGUCGAGACUAAAAUGGUGAAAUCAAAGACCUAAAACGGAGAAUUUUGAAAACGCUGCUGACCCCGUUUUUCGUUUUAAAACUCUGGGUAGCGUUUUAGUGUGGAUGGGCAAAAACGGAGGACUUUAGAAACAUUGGCGCAGACGCUGACAUUUGGCUCUCUGAUUGGGUCUCAUAAGUCAUGCAAAGUAGAAACAAGAUGCUACUGACAUUCGACGGGGUAUUUUUAUUAAAAUAUUUUGUACCGUGCCAAGUACGCUUAUACACUGUGUAUUUCACCCUAUUUACUUUGACGACUCCCAUUCUGUUUUCCGCCACUACAGUUUAAUUCCAAUGUUAUGUUGAGGAACAGUCCCAGCUCGUUAGUGAUCCAUGCAAAAUAAAAUUUGGUGUGGUCCUUCA